rnacentral:rRNA from 1 species
GAUGAACGCUGGCGGCGUGCCUAAUACAUGCAAGCCGAGCGAACCACUUCGGUGGUGAGCGGCGAACGGGUGAGUAACACGUAGGUGAUCUGCCCAUCAGACGGGGGCAACGAUUGGAAACGAUCGCUAAUACCGGAUAGGACGAAAGUUUAAAGGUGCUUCUGGCACCGCUGAUGGAUGAGCCUGCGGCGCAUUAGCUAGUUGGUAGGGUAAAGGCCUACCAAGGCGACGAUGCGUAGCCGACCUGAGAGGGUGAACGGCCACACUGGGACUGAGACACGGCCCAGACUCCUACGGGAGGCAGCAGUAGGGAAUCUUCGGCAAUGGGCGAAAGCCUGACCGAGCAACGCCGCGUGAAUGAUGAAGGCCUUCGGGUUGUAAAAUUCUGUUAUAAGGGAAGAACGACUUUAGUAGGAAAUGGCUAGAGUGUGACGGUACCUUAUGAGAAAGCCACGGCUAACUACGUGCCAGCCGCCGCGGUAA